UACAGAGGUCCCAAGCGUUGUUCGGAUUCACUGGGCGUAAAGGGUGCGUAGGCGGUUGGAUAAGUCUGGCGUGAAAUCUCCGGGCCUAACCCGGAAACUGCGUUGGAUACUAUUCGGCUAGAGGAAUGGAGGGGAGACUGGAAUACUUGGUGUAGCAGUGAAAUGCGUAGAUAUCAAGUGGAACACCAGUGGCGAAGGCGAGUCUCUGGACAUUUCCUGACGCUGAGGCACGAAAGCCAGGGGAGCAAACGGG
rnacentral:rRNA from 1 species